GGCGGGUGGGUGUGGCCAGGGAGGACGUCCACAGGGGGAGACUCCAACGGGACCAGUAACGGUCUCUGGACUAUCCCUGAAGGGAGGGGCCAUCUUGGCCUGUACACCGUUACAUUUACAGAGACCAAGGCUUCCUCAGUGAGCGCGGCCAUUAGUAUGAUAUCUCACACUAUGCACGGUGUGCCAGAUAGACAGCUAGGAGAAAAGUGCUCCACGAAAUGAGAUCGUAAAAUCUAAGUGCACACACGUUAUGGCCUGCCUGCCUACCCGAAUAACAUUAGGACAAAUUCAAAGCUUUGGAAAAGUACAGAAUCAAUGACAAGGAAAGGACACUAGAUAUUUUUCUCAUAAUCUUUUGUUUAUUCUUCGUUAUGUUUUUUUAGACAUGAAAUAAAGAAAAUAACACCUUUCCAAAACGCCUGUGUGUCGUGUUGUGAAAAAAGGGAGGAGGGAGAUCAACAGACUACAGAGUGCUACACACUCCAUCACAGCAGAAGGAGUAAACAGACAGAAUCAGAAUCAGGGCAGAGAGAGAUCACUCACAUAGUGCAAGGAAUGCCAAUGAGAACACUGGAGUGAAUUUGAGGGGGUCUGUCCCAGCCAGGGGGGGAAUUGAACCCACAACCUUCUGGUCCCAAGACCCAGACACUAACCAACCAUUCCAAAUAGAGUUGACUCACUAGGAGGUGGGUUUGUUACAUUACCCCCUCUUUUGCGAAGCGCUAUAAUACAGUAGUGGUAUAAAACAUGUCAAAUUCAUCCACAUGCACAUCUCAACAUCUCAGUUCCACUUCAGGAGGGCUAGAUCUCAAAUACUGUUUGAGGCUUUGGCAUCCAUUUUGAAUUCAACCUGCUGUUUACAUACAAACAGUGCCACUGAAUUCCCAAGUUGUACAACAGUUACUGUCUCACCAAGUUACACAAUACACUUCAAUAUGUUAUUCAUCUCAUGCUAAUGCACAUUCAAAUAAACCCUGAUAACCAAAUACCAAGCAACUAGGUCAUUUAUCACUCUUCCAAUCAUGACUGAGUGUCUGAGUGCUUUAUAUGAAACACUUCCUGUCCUGACUAUAAUUUUCUGUAUCUCCUGACUGUGUUGUGUCUUUAUAUACAGUACAGUAGACCUAUAAGGUAGUCAGGUCUGCACAUAGUACUUUACCUCUGUUUAGUCUGAGACCUACAUCAUAUAAACCAAACGGUGCCUCUUGGAGUGUAUUUAUAGAAUAUAGGCUGACUAGCCAUUGAAUAUUUGAUUUCAUAUUUGAGGCACUAAAUCAAAGAUGAGAGUCAUCCCGUGUAGAGCACCUCAGAGGUGCAGGUUUGUGUGAUGUUAACCACAUACUGAGUCUGGACAAACACAGAGAGUUUUCUAAACAAAUGUUAGAUGAUAAGCAGAUCAUUGAGGACAAUCAUUUCUAAGCAUGGAUAUGUGACGUCGACAUACAGCUGAAAUUGUGAUUUUCUUUUCUCAUUGCACACACAUAGGCUAGAGGGUUAUACCUAGACACAGAUACAAAAUGAUGUGUCACACGCACACAACACGGGCACGCACAACACACUCACUCAGGUACGAUCACACACGCACACACACACACACGUUAGGAUGAAGAUAACACUAUGACUGAUCAAUCCUCCAAACACACACAGACACAGACACACACACACACACACACACAUUAGGAUGAAGAUAACACUAUGACUGAUCAAUCCUCCACACACACACAGACACAGACACAUUAGGAUGAAGAUAA
ensembl:lncRNA